GCCUUUUCUAGAAUCUCCCUACCUGUUAUUCCAGGAAGGAUACCUCUUCUUUUCUGUUCUGAUGUGGAGGUGUCUUAUAUAUGUCCUACCUGUGUGUUUGUCUUCAGCCAAAAGCCUAGAGUACUCAGACUGAGAAAGCCCUCUCUUACUGAGAUGGGCCUUCCUUCCUUUGCCCUUCGAUGGUCCCUCUUGCCGUUGUACCAAGAGGGACUCUGUUUUCAUGACACACUUAGCCAGGGCUGUUGCCUGGUCCUUCCUGCCCAUGACGAGGUUGGUGCCUCUUGCAGGCUGGCACCAUGCUAGUGGUCUCUCUUGCCUAGUGCUGUGAACUGGGCCCUUCCUGGAGAAGAAACCUGGGUUCCCUAAGAUGUGACCAAAGCCAGGGACCCCGCCAGCAGGUGAGGGGAUCCCAAGGCAAAUGCUGGGCGUGGAGGCCAUAGGGGCAUCUGCUACCAAGGAGACAGAGAAAUGACCCUGUCAGGGGCAUGGCUCCUCCCUCACUCGCACACCUCACGUCACCCUGCUUGGCCCCGGAGAUGGCUGGUUAGCCAGAGACGGGUAAGAUUCCUCAGGGAAGGAACAACCUAAGACAGGCACAGUCGCAUAGGGGCCAUCAGGAGAAAACUUGGGGGCCAACUGAGGUGGGGCACAGACCCUCACCCCCCCAACUCGGCAGAGGCCUGAACCCUUCUGAGGGAGGUCUCCUGACCCCAUGGCUGCUUUACCUCCCACGCCCAGCUCAGACCGGGACCCAUGGAGCAAAACUCACCAUGACGUUAACUCCUUUGUGGUAGAUAUAAGUGCCCAAACAAGCACAUUGUUGUGUUUUUCUGUCAAUGGAGUCUUCAAGGAAGUGGACGGGAAGUCUCGAGAUUCUUUACGUGCUUUCACGAGAACGUUCAUUGCUGUUCCUGCCAGCAAUUCAGGGCUAUGUAUUGUAAAUGACGAAUUAUUUGUGCGGAACGCCAGCCCUGAAGAAAUCCAAAGAGCCUUCGCCAUGCCUGCACCCACACCUUCUUCCAGCCCAGUACCCACACUCUCCCAAGAACAGCAGGAUAUGUUACAAGCAUUUUCUACCCAGUCUGGCAUGAACCUCGAGUGGUCUCAGAAGUGCCUUCAAGACAAUAACUGGGACUACACCAGAUCUGCCCAGGCCUUCACUCAUCUCAAGGCCAAGGGAGAGAUUCCAGAAGUAGCGUUUAUGAAAUGAUCUCAAGAAAAGUCCCCUUGUAAAUAGCCCUUGGAUAAUAUUGUCUGGCUGUCAUCUGCGGACUCCUGUCCAGCCCGAGGCCACCCUGUAACUGUGACUGGGGAGGAAGGGCUGCUUCAUCCUCCUCACCUACCUUCUGGAAGACUUAGAGAAGACUUCCGGAAGAUUGAGCCUCAUGGUGCCAGGAAGCCAAAGCUUACUUUGUAGAGCUGACACUAAAUUACCGAAGGACUUAGGUGCUCUGUGUACUUAACCCCAGGAUUCCCUUUACUUUUUAAGAUAAAGAGUGAUAUUGU
rnacentral:lncRNA from 1 species